AUUGAACGCUGGCGGCAGGCCUAACACAUGCAAGUAGAACGAGUCGCGGGCGGGAGAGUUAUGUAUGGGAAACUCCCUGAAUGAGGGGGAUACCUACGGGAAACGGUUGCUCAUACCGCAUUCCUUCACAUGUGCCCCGAUGGGAUUAGCUAGUGGGGGGGGUAAAGGCGCACCUAGGCGACGAGCCCUAGCUGGUCUGAGAGGAUGACCAGCCACACGUGAACUGAGACACGGUCCAGACUCCUACGGGAGGCAGCAGUGGGGAAUAUUGCACAAGGGGCGCAAGCCUGAUGCAGCCAUGCCUCGUGUAUGAAGAAGGCCUUCGGGUUGUAAAGUACUUUCAGCGGGGAGGCGUUACCCGCAGAAGAAGCACCGGCUAACUCCGUGCCAGCAGCCGCGGUAAUUC
rnacentral:rRNA from 1 species